CUGGCGCGUGGAUUACGAGUUUUAGCCAAUGGGAGGAAAGCGGAUUACACCUGCAGCCAAUCAGGAGGGAGAAGGGCCGGGGAAGGGAAGGGGCAGAUAGUAAAAGGAAGCAGUGAGGGAGCUGUCAGCGCUGGAAUGUGGAGGUUACCUCACUGACACACUCGGGAUGAUGAGAGCUCCCGGAGGAAUUCAGUCACUCGGCAUUCCACACAUACACUCAUAGGUCAUCCAUUCACCUGUCACCGACUAUAUAUCUGUGUAACCAAGACUACACACGGUUUCCUUAUCACCAAACAUGGACUUCUCAUUUUACCUCGGCUAUUGAAAAAGAGACAGAUGAAUGUCUCGAAACGCGUCUAGCUCCUACAUAUACCAACAAUCUAUUAUACCAUACCCACCACCAUAGAAACCAGGAUCUUCACAAAUCAACUUGCAACUGCUGGAGGCCCCAAAUGAGCGGCCCACUGUUACAUGCGCAGCAACACAGGACAUCAGCACUGUUAUGUGCGCUUCUACACAGGACGCCAGCAUCCACUGCCGACCUCCCUUACAUCAUCACUCCCACAGCCACCUGUUGAAGCCCGAACAUUUCACAUCGGCCGGACGCCAGCCGUGCCAGUCCGGCACCACAGGACCACGCGGAGAAGUGCGGCUUUCCCUCCAGACGGGCACAUACAACUGUGCCGGACGCUAGCCGAGCCAGCUUGUCGGUUUGCAUAGGGACACCGCCUGGGAGGUCAGAUUUAACACAAAGAGCCUCCCACAGCAGGAAUGCAUAAUAACAAUAUCAAUUACACAAUAUGUAUACAAAUAAGAAAGAAACCAGUGGCAGCGAUACCUUCUCCACGCAGCACGACGAGAUGGACAAUGGCGAUACUCGGGCAGUAACCAGAAACUUCAGAUGCGGCGGUGCUAGGAGGCCGGAAGAAGUGUAUACCUUUGCGCAAAACCGCCGGCAGUCGCCUAUGAGCGCCCCACGCGACCGUCAGCCGCUGAUCCGGAGGAGAAGCCCGAGAUGGGAGCCGCAAAAUCAGAACUGAAGCGCCAUGUACAAUUCAAGGACUAUCUCAUGAUUCCACACCCAUCUUCUGUUAGACUACUCUGAGGAUCAAAGGGCUUGAGUAAGGUUGCCAUAACCAAAACAUUACAAGAGGGCUCGAGAAAGGUUGUCAUAACUGAAUUGUUGCAAGAAGAGAAAAAAAGAAGGCAGUCUCACAUUUAUGUUUUGCUGUCAUUUUAUUUUUUUAAAGUAAAUACAGCAGA